rnacentral:rRNA from 1 species
GACGAACGCUGGCGGCGUGCUUAACACAUGCAAGUCGAACGAUGAAGCCCUUCGGGGUGGAUUAGUGGCGAACGGGUGAGUAACACGUGGGCAAUCUGCCCUUCACUCUGGGACAAGCCCUGGAAACGGGGUCUAAUACCGGAUAANACUCCUGCCUGCAUGGGCGGGGGUUGAAAGCUCCGGCGGUGAAGGAUGAGCCCGCGGCCUAUCAGCUUGUUGGUGGGGUAAUGGCCCACCAAGGCGACGACGGGUAGCCGGCCUGAGAGGGCGACCGGCCACACUGGGACUGAGACACGGCCCAGACUCCUACGGGAGGCAGCAGUGGGGAAUAUUGCACAAUGGGCGAAAGCCUGAUGCAGCGACGCCGCGUGAGGGAUGACGGCCUUCGGGUUGUAAACCUCUUUCAGCAGGGAAGAAGCGAAAGUGACGGUACCUGCAGAAGAAGCGCCGGCUAACUACGUGCCAGCAGCCGCGGUAAUACGUAGGGCGCAAGCGUUGUCCGGAAUUAUUGGGCGUAAAGAGCUCGUAGGCGGCUUGUCACGUCGGAUGUGAAAGCCCGAGGCUUAACCUCGGGUCUGCAUUCGAUACGGGCUAGCUAGAGUGUGGUAGGGGAGAUCGGAAUUCCUGGUGUAGCGGUGAAAUGCGCAGAUAUCAGGAGGAACACCGGUGGCGAAGGCGGAUCUCUGGGCCAUUACUGACGCUGAGGAGCGAAAGCGUGGGGAGCGAACAGGAUUAGAUACCCUGGUAGUCCACGCCGUAAACGUUGGGAACUAGGUGUUGGCGACAUUCCACGUCGUCGGUGCCGCAGCUAACGCAUUAANUUCCCGCCUGGGGNUACGNCNCAGGCUAAACUCAANGANUGACGGGGNCCGACAACNGCGGAACAUUGGCUUAUUNGACGCACGCAAAACUUACAGGNUGCAUUNCCGNANCNUAAAAAANGCCCCNUGGGNCGNUANAGNGGGCUGGUGNCNANNUUGUCG